AUACGUAGGUGACAAGCGUUAUCCGGAUUUACUGGGCGUAAAGGGCGUGUAGGCGGUCUUGCAAGUCAGAAGUGAAAUUCCUGAGCUCAACUCGGGCGCUGCUUCUGAAACUGCAGGACUUGAGUGCUGGAGGGGAUAGCGGAAUUCCUAGUGGAGCGGUAAAAUGCGCAGAUAUUAGGAAGAACACCGGUGGCGAAGGCGGCUAUCUGGACAGUAACUGACGCUGAGGCGCGAAAGCGUGGGGAGCAAACAGGAUUAGAUACCCUAGUAGUCCACGCUGUAAACGAUGACAACUAAAUAUUGCCGCGAGGCAGUGUUGAAGCUAACGCAUUAAGUUGUCCGCCUGGGGAGUACGGUCGCAAGACUGAAACUUAAAGGAAUUGACGGGG
rnacentral:rRNA from 1 species